GGCUUUGUGGCUCAGAUGAUAGGGCAUGGACAUGUUGUUUCUGUCGGUGGUUCGAAUCCAGCCAAGGCUC